GGUUAAGCGACUAAGCGUACACGGUGGAUGCCCUGGCAGUCAGAGGCGAUGAAGGGCGUGCUAAUCUGCGAUAAGCGCCGGUAAGGUGAUAUGAACCGUUAUAACCGGCGAUACCCGAAUGGGGAAACCCAGUGUGAUUCGUCACACUAUCAUUAACUGAAUCCAUAGGUUAAUGAGGCGAACCGGGGGAACUGAAACAUCUAAGUACCCCGAGGAAAAGAAAUCAACCGAGAUUCCCCCAGUAGCGGCGAGCGAACGGGGAGGAGCCCAGAGCCUGAAUCAGCAUGUGUGUUAGUGGAAGCGUCUGGAAAGGCGCGCGAUACAGGGUGACAGCCCCGUACACAAAAGCGCAUGUGCUGUGAGCUCGAUGAGUAGGGCGGGACACGUGGUAUCCUGUCUGAAUAUGGGGGGACCAUCCUCCAAGGCUAAAUACUCCUGACUGACCGAUAGUGAACCAGUACCGUGAGGGAAAGGCGAAAAGAACCCCGGCGAGGGGAGUGAAAAAGAACCUGAAACCGUGUACGUACAAGCAGUGGGAGCACCCUUCGGGGUGUGACUGCGUACCUUUUGUAUAAUGGGUCAGCGACUUAUAUUCUGUAGCAAGGUUAACCGUAUAGGGGAGCCGGAGGGAAACCGAGUCUUAACCGGGCGUUAAGUUGCAGGGUAUAGACCCGAAACCCGGUGAUCUAGCCAUGGGCAGGUUGAAGGUUGGGUAACACUAACUGGAGGACCGAACCGACUAAUGUUGAAAAAUUAGCGGAUGACCUGUGGCUGGGGGUGAAAGGCCAAUCAAACCGGGAGAUAGCUGGUUCUCCCCGAAAGCUAUUUAGGUAGCGCCUCGUGAAUUCAUCUCCGGGGGUAGAGCACUGUUUCGGCUAGGGGGCCAUCCCGGCUUACCAACCCGAUGCAAACUGCGAAUACCGGAGAAUGUUAUCACGGGAGACACACGGCGGGUGCUAACGUCCGUCGUGAAGAGGGAAACAACCCAGACCGCCAGCUAAGGUCCCAAAGUCAUGGUUAAGUGGGAAACGAUGUGGGAAGGCCCAGACAGCCAGGAUGUUGGCUUAGAAGCAGCCAUCAUUUAAAGAAAGCGUAAUAGCUCACUGGUCGAGUCGGCCUGCGCGGAAGAUGUAACGGGGCUAAACCAUGCACCGAAGCUGCGGCAGCGAACGUAUCACCCAAGACAACUUUACGGAGUUGACGAUUGACGGAGCGAAGCGACGUCAAAGCGUUCAUUAAAGUCGAGUUGGCUUAGGGAUACGUUCGUUGGGUAGGGGAGCGUUCUGUAAGCCUGUGAAGGUGUGUCGUGAGGCAUGCUGGAGGUAUCAGAAGUGCGAAUGCUGACAUAAGUAACGAUAAAGCGGGUGAAAAGCCCGCUCGCCGGAAGACCAAGGGUUCCUGUCCAACGUUAAUCGGGGCAGGGUGAGUCGACCCCUAAGGCGAGGCCGAAAGGCGUAGUCGAUGGGAAACGGGUUAAUAUUCCCGUACUUGGUGUUACUGCGAAGGGGGGACGGAGAAGGCUAUGUUGGCCGGGCGACGGUUGUCCCGGUUUAAGCGUGUAGGUGUGUGUUCCAGGUAAAUCCGGUUCACUUUAACACUGAGGCGUGACGACGAGGCACUACGGUGCUGAAGCAACAAAUGCCCUGCUUCCAGGAAAAGCCUCUAAGCAUCAGGUAACAUCAAAUCGUACCCCAAACCGACACAGGUGGUCAGGUAGAGAAUACCAAGGCGCUUGAGAGAACUCGGGUGAAGGAACUAGGCAAAAUGGUGCCGUAACUUCGGGAGAAGGCACGCUGACACGUAGGUGAAGUGAUUUACUCAUGGAGCUGAAGUCAGUCGAAGAUACCAGCUGGCUGCAACUGUUUAUUAAAAACACAGCACUGUGCAAACACGAAAGUGGACGUAUACGGUGUGACGCCUGCCCGGUGCCGGAAGGUUAAUUGAUGGGGUCAGCGCAAGCGAAGCUCCUGAUCGAAGCCCCGGUAAACGGCGGCCGUAACUAUAACGGUCCUAAGGUAGCGAAAUUCCUUGUCGGGUAAGUUCCGACCUGCACGAAUGGCGUAAUGAUGGCCAGGCUGUCUCCACCCGAGACUCAGUGAAAUUGAACUCGCUGUGAAGAUGCAGUGUACCCGCGGCAAGACGGAAAGACCCCGUGAACCUUUACUAUAGCUUGACACUGAACAUUGAGCCUUGAUGUGUAGGAUAGGUGGGAGGCUUUGAAGUGUGGACGCCAGUCUGCAUGGAGCCGACCUUGAAAUACCACCCUUUAAUGUUUGAUGUUCUAACGUGGACCCGUUACCCGGGUUGCGGACAGUGUCUGGUGGGUAGUUUGACUGGGGCGGUCUCCUCCUAAAGAGUAACGGAGGAGCACGAAGGUUGGCUAAUCCUGGUCGGACAUCAGGAGGUUAGUGCAAUGGCAUAAGCCAGCUUGACUGCGAGCGUGACGGCGCGAGCAGGUGCGAAAGCAGGUCAUAGUGAUCCGGUGGUUCUGAAUGGAAGGGCCAUCGCUCAACGGAUAAAAGGUACUCCGGGGAUAACAGGCUGAUACCGCCCAAGAGUUCAUAUCGACGGCGGUGUUUGGCACCUCGAUGUCGGCUCAUCACAUCCUGGGGCUGAAGUAGGUCCCAAGGGUAUGGCUGUUCGCCAUUUAAAGUGGUACGCGAGCUGGGUUUAGAACGUCGUGAGACAGUUCGGUCCCUAUCUGCCGUGGGCGCUGGAGAACUGAGGGGGGCUGCUCCUAGUACGAGAGGACCGGAGUGGACGCAUCACUGGUGUUCGGGUUGUCAUGCCAAUGGCACUGCCCGGUAGCUAAAUGCGGAAGAGAUAAGUGCUGAAAGCAUCUAAGCACGAAACUUGCCCCGAGAUGAGUUCUCCCUGAGACUUAGAGUCUCCUGAAGGAACGUUGAAGACGACGACGUUGAUAGGCCGGGUGUGUAAGCGCAGCGAUGCGUUGAGCUAACCGGUACUAAUGAACCGUGAGGCUUAACCUU
rnacentral:rRNA from 2 species